CCCAUUUAUCAACUGAGAGACAUUUGACUGAUAGGAGGACAUGUUUAUUUAUGUAUCAAGGUUUUGUAUGUUUAGUUCUGUUAGAUAUAUAGCUAGGAUCAUGUAGCUGAUCACAUGAUAAAUUCCAUGUUUAACUUUUUGAGAACUCCAAACUGUUUUCCAAAUUCAUUGUAAUGUUUUUACUCUUAGUGACUCAACUUUGUCUUAUCUAUGAAAAGAAAGGAUUCAGUAACAGUUUUGCAGGGAGGAAAGUUUGAGGUAGAAUGCACAGGUUCUAGGCCAAAAUGCUUUCUCUUAUUGUAUUCUACAUAUCUUGUAUAAUGUUUUCCCUAGAAAUUCGAGGGAAGCAAAAUUAGUAUAAUCAAGAAAAAUUUAGAAUUCAAUAAAAUAAAAAUGAUUCAAAAUUGAGCAUGUUUAUCACUUUUAUAAUAUAAGAUUAGUAGCUGAAUACAUUUUAUUUUAUUUUUAGAUUUUCAAAAAGUUUUAUCUGUAUGGGUGUUUUGUCUGCAUAUGUAUCUUUAACCUGUUUGGAUAAUGCUCUUUCCUUAUAGAGAAGCUGGCGGAAGCUCAGCGCAGGUUUGCUACACUUCAGAAUGAGCUUCAGUCAUCACUGGAUGCGCAGAAAGAAAGCACUGGUGUCACAACAUUGCGGCAACGCAGGAAGCCAGUGUUCCACCUGUCCCAUGAGGAGCGUGUCCAACAUAGGAAUAUUAAAGACCUUAAGCUGGCCUUCAGCGAGUUCUACCUCAGUCUCAUCCUGCUGCAGAACUAUCAGGUGCUUAGUCUUCCCCACAGAAUGGCUUUGUGAAAUAAGACUCCAGGAAGGAGAAUUACCUUGGUGUAUACCAAAUCCCCUAAAGACUGAAAUCAUCUUUAUUCUUGAGGUUCUUGGAAUUUAGAUAUUUUUGUGGAAAAAAAAAAA
rnacentral:lncRNA from 1 species